rnacentral:lncRNA from 1 species
UUAUUGUGCUCUUGGACGGCGAAGCGAGCGAGGUCUUCAACUUCGGCGCUGUUCUGGACGCCGCGGGAUUCUUGGAUUCCGCCGACUGUGUCCAUUUUCCGGUGUUGGGAACUGUGGCCGCAGCCAAUUCGGGUUGAUUUUUGUGCGGUAGUGGAAGGGAAAGCGAGGAGGAGGAGGAGGAGGAAGAAGGGAGCAAUUAAUAGAGAGAGGUAAGAUUCCGAUUUCAUCUGGCCUUUUUGGGUUUGGGGAUUUUUUCGACGGUUUCUCUGCAAAUUCGGAUAUUUUUCUUUCGGUCAUCAGGUUUUUAUGAUACGUGUCAAACACGUGUCGAUUCUGCACCAUCUUUGCUUACUAUGUAAGCUUUCGAAAUGGGAUUGAGAUCCUCUUCUUGGCUAAGGAUGAUGAUUUUCCUGACCUAACUCAUAUGAUUGUUUAAAUUUUAUCAACGAUUACAAACAUAAAGUUUUUCUAAAAGUUAUAAUAACUGUAACAGUUGAAUAAAAUUUGAACGAUCCGAUGAGCUUGAUCAAGAGGACCAUCACCCUUACCUUAGUAGUGGAUCCUAAUCUCUCUCUAUAUACUUUUGUGAGAGGACGGAGGAUCCUCUUUUUUUUUUUCUUUUUUUUUUUGACAAAGGAGAACGAUAUUAAUCCAACCAAACACAACUACAACAUAACAACAAAGGCCCACGGAGGAUCCUCUUUUUUGUGAGGAUCCUAAAGAUCAAUUCAUAUUACAUAUUCAUUAUAUCAUGCGAUUAGCUUUCGU